AUUGAACGCUGGCGGCAGGCUUAACACAUGCACGUCGAGCGAGCGGCGGACGGGUGAGUAAUGUCUGGGAAACUGCCUGCUGGCGGGGGAUAACUACUGGAAACGGUAGCUAAUACCGCAUACCAUCAGAUGUGCCCAGAUGGGAUUAGCUAGUCGGGGGGGUCAUGGCUCACCUAGGCGACGAGCCCUAGCUGGUCUGAGCGGAUGACCAGCCACACUGGAACAGAGACACGGUGCAGACUCCUACGGGAGGCAGCAGUGGGGAAUAUUGGACAAUGGGCGCAAGCCGGAGGCAGCCAUGCCGCGUGUGUGAAGAAGGCCGUCGGGUUGUAAAGCACUUUCAGCGAGGAGGCGUGACUCGCAGAAGAAGCACCGGCUAACUCCGUGCCAGCAGCCGCGGUAAUAC
rnacentral:rRNA from 1 species